UUUCCGUAGGUGAGCCUGCGGAAGGAUCAUUAUUGUAUAACCGAGGUGCGAGGGCUGUCGCUGACCCGAAAGGUCGUGCACGCCCGAGUGCCCUCACACACAUCCAUCUCACCCCUAUGUGCACCACCGCGUGGGUCCCCCUUUGGCUUGUUCGGAGGGGGGCUUACGUUUUCACACAAACUUUGUAUGCAGUGUAGAAUGUAUUUUUUGUUUUUGCGAUCACGCAAUCAAUACAACUUUCAACAACGGAUCUCUUGGCUCUCGCAUCGAUGAAGAAUGCGGC
rnacentral:misc_RNA from 1 species